GGAGGAAAAGAAACCAACAGGGAUUGCCUCAGUAGCGGCGAGUGAAGCGGCAAAAGCUCAAAUUUGAAAUCUGGCGUCUUUGGCGUCCGAGUUGUAAUUUGAAGAAGGUAUCUUUGGGCCCGGCUCUUGUCUAUGUUCCUUGGAACAGGACGUCACAGAGGGUGAGAAUCCCGUGCGAUGAGAUGACCCGGGUCUGUGUAAAGUUCCUUCGACGAGUCGAGUUGUUUGGGAAUGCAGCUCUAAGUGGGUGGUAAAUUCCAUCUAAAGCUAAAUAUUGGCGAGAGACCGAUAGCGAACAAGUACAGUGAUGGAAAGAUGAAAAGAACUUUGAAAAGAGAGUGAAAAAGUACGUGAAAUUGUUGAAAGGGAAGGGCUUGAGAUCAGACUUGGUAUUUUGCAUGUUGCUCUCUCGGGGGCGGCCGCUGCGGUUUACCGGGCCAGCAUCGGUUUGGAGCGGCAGGAUAAUGGCGGAGGAAUGUGGCACGGCUUCUGCUGUGUGUUAUAGCCUCUGACGAUACUGCCAGCCUAGACCGAGGACUGCGG
rnacentral:rRNA from 1 species